UGAAGGAACAGGGUAUGUAGACUUAGUGUAGGCCAUGAAGAUGAGAAUGAGCCUCAGAGUUAUUCUGAAUAACGAGUCCUUGGAGAAAUCCUCACUGGGACUCAAGCAAGAGUCAGCAUCAGAGAGAAAACUCGCUACCACUGUGUCUGGCCAUCUACACAUGUGGUUACCUUCCAAUGUCCCAGUAUAAAAGGUUUUCACACUGUAAGUUGUAAAACUAAAAUGACAAAACUGGAAUUUAAGACUUGGGCCACAACUGCAAAUGCUUUUGUUACAGCAUCCUGGUGACCAGACUCAUAAUGACCACUCUUUACGGAAGGACACUGACAAUGCUGUCCCUGAGGCAAUACUAGUCCAUGGGACUUUGUGGGAUUAUUCCUUUGAAGGGCGAAUCCUAAGGAAGACUUCUGGAUACUUCUAGAAUCUUCUUCAGAGAUCAGUGUGGAAAGCUUGGCAAUUACAGCAUAUCUUUGUGUAAAACCAGACAGAAGAAAAG
rnacentral:lncRNA from 1 species